CCUACGGGUGGCAGCAGUAGGGAAUUUUCGUCAAUGGGCGCAAGCCUGAACGAGCAAUGCCGCGUGAACGAUGAAGGUCUUCGGAUCGUUAAGUUCUGUUUAUGUGGAAAUAGAGCGGAGAGAGUAAAUGAUCUCUUAUUGAUAUUACCCUUCGAGGAAGUCACGGCUAACUACGUGCCAGCAGCUGCGGUAAUACGUAGGUGGCGAGCGUUAUCCGGAAUGGUUUGGCGGAAAGGGUGCGUAGGCGGGCUGCUAAGUCUGGAGGGAAAGGGACCGGCGCAACCGGUACAGGCUCGGGGAACUGGCGGGCGAGGGGGCAGGAGAGGGCAGGGGAACUUCGUGUGUAGCGGUAAAAUGCGUAGAUAUAUGGAAGAAAACCAGUGGCGAAGGCGGCCGCAUGGCAUGUUGACUGACGCUGAGGCACGAAAGCGUGGGGAGCAAAUAGGAUUAGAUACCCUAGUAGUC
rnacentral:rRNA from 1 species